GCAAGGUUAAAACUCAAAUGAAUUGACGGGGGCCCGCACAAGCGGUGGAGCAUGUGGUUUAAUUCGAUGCAACGCGAAGAACCUUACCUACUCUUGACAUCCACAGAACUUUCCAGAGAUGGAUUGGUGCCUUCGGGAACUGUGAGACAGGUGCUGCAUGGCUGUCGUCAGCUCGUGUUGUGAAAUGUUGGGUUAAGUCCCGCAACGAGCGCAACCCCUAUCCUUAUUUGCCAGCACGUAAUGGUGGGAACUCUAGGGAGACUGCCGGUGAUAAACCGGGGGAAGGUGGGGACGACGUCAAGUCAUCAUGGCCCUUACGAGUAGGGCUACACACGUGCUACAAUGGCGAGUACAGAGGGUUGCAAAGCCGCGAGGUGGAGCUAAUCUCACAAAGCUCGUCGUAGUCCGGAUUGGAGUCUGCAACUCGACUCCAUGAAGUCGGAAUCGCUAGUAAUCGUGGAUCAGAAUGCCACGGUGAAUACGUUCCCGGGCCUUGUACACACCGCCCGUCACACCAUGGGAGUGGGCUGCAAAAGAAGUGGGUAGCUUAACCUUCGGGGGGGCGCUCACCACUUUGUGGUUCAUGACUGGGGUGAAGUCGUAACAAGGUA
rnacentral:rRNA from 1 species